AGGGUUUGAUCCUGGCUCAGAUUGAACGCUGGCGGCAGCCCUUAUACAUGCAAGUCGAACGAGAAAGUUUCUUCGGAAGCGAGUAAAGUGGCGGACGGGUGAGUAACGCGUAGGAAUCUACCUUUCAGUGGGGGAUAGCUCGAGGAAACUCGAAUUAAUACCGCAUACACCCUUAGGGGGAAAGGGGGCCUCUCCUUGGAAGCUCUCGCUGUUAGAUGAGCCUGCGUGAGAUUAGUUUGUUGGUAAGGUAAUGGCUUACCAAGACUACGAUCUCUAGCUGGUCUGAGAGGACGAUCAGCCACACUGGGACUGAGACACGGCCCAGACUCCUACGGGAGGCAGCAGUAGGGAAUAUUGGACAAUGGGGGAAACCCUGAUCCAGGCAUGCCGCGUGUGUGAAGAAGGCCUUAGGGUUGUAAAGCACUUUAAGUGAGGAAGAAAAGAUUUAAGUUAAUAUCUUAAAUCCCUGACAUUACUCACAGAAUAAGGACCGGCUAACUCCGUGCCAGCCGCCGCGGUAAUAC
rnacentral:rRNA from 1 species